UACGAAGGGUGCAAGCGUUACUCGGAAUUACUGGGCGUAAAGAGCGCGCAGGCGGUCGUGCAAGUCGCGUGUGAAAGCCCCCGGCUCAACUGGGGAGGGUCACGCGAUACUGCUCGACUCGAAGGCAGGAGAGGGAAGUGGAAUUCCCGGUGUAGUGGUGAAAUGCGUAGAUAUCGGGAGGAACACCAGUGGCGAAGGCGACUUCCUGGCCUGUUCUUGACGCUGAGGCGCGAAAGCUAGGGUAGCAAACGGG
rnacentral:rRNA from 1 species